CGCUUCUGCCCGUCCUAGCGUUAUAUAGAUCAGCAGCAGCGAGAGGAAAACAGAGGAAGUGAAAGACAGGAAGACUGGAGGAGAGGGAUAACGCUGUUGUCUUUCGAGUGUGACCGGUGUCCAUAGAUCAGUGCAGUCACACAAGCUAAAUAUGCCGUUUAUUUAAAACAUUGAUUAUUUCCAACAUAUAAAUAGAUCCAGAUAACAAGUGACACAUUUAUUCCCUUUAUCCAAUUAAACUAGUACAUUAUCUGAGAUUGUUAGUUCGCUAUAGAGUUUGUAUCAGCUAACACAUCAGAUUUAGUAAAUAAACAACACAGUUUAAGUAAGUUUAUUAACAUGUCUGAUAUCGGUGCGAUCUGAUCAAAUGGUUCUUUUGUGGGGUGGAAGAACAGAUGUAUUCCGAUUCAAAGUCGUGCCAACCGAAGAUUAAAGUGAGUUUCAGCACCAGGAGGAGCUCCGAGAGAUGGAUGAGGUAUUGGAGAAGUUUCUGGAAGAUCAGAAGAUGAAGAUAGCAGAAGAGAAGGCCUGUCUGGAACAGGAGCUCCCUUACAUGGAGAUGAGGAGGCGGACAGGCCACGUUCUACAGAAAGAGAACAUCCCUCCACGUACAAGUCAGCAAGAUGGAGUGAGUCUGCCGCUCGGAGAGGAAUAUGAGAGAAAGAAACACAAACUGCAAGAAGAGCUCAGGAAAGAUUACAGGAAAUACAUGGCAGAGAAAGAUCACUGGGAUGCUGGUGACAUUCACACAGUUCCAGAGAGAAGAAGAAUACCCAGGACGGUCCGUGUGAGGCAUGUGGCCACCCUUACAGAUGUGUGUGGUCUGGGAUGGGGUGUGUGUAGCUCAGAGGAAGACUGCAGUGAUGAAGAACUCAUGCUUUUACAAGGGAGGCGGCAUCAGAAAGAGAGAGACAUCAGGACAGCAAACAGAAGAGAAGAAGUGUACACAGAGACAGGGCAUCACAUAAGCAAACUACAGCACAGAAACAGAAUGUCAACAUCCGUUGCCACCCAAGCCAAUGAAAGAUCUGUAUCUGCGGCCAGUCAGGACACAGUUUGCACCACUGGACUCUUAAUAGGUGAAACAGAUCUGGAGGUGACGCAGAAGAUGAGAAAAGAGCGUUACAGAUAUCCCUGUAAAUCAACUGUCUUUAGGGAUAAAGAACUGGACCUGAGAGUUCCGAGAGUAACGGAUGCUGAUAAAAAGCAGCUCUUUGCGAGUGAGGCAUCUGCAUACAGAAAGCAACCUAGGGAUGACAUCACCCGCCUGGACACUGCUGAGCCUCCUGAGGGUCUUCUGCAAUACAGGACAGACCCUCUGUCUCCAUGCAGCAGGAUGCCUUUUGUCCCUACCCACCUCCCAUUCCUUGCAGAUGCCUAUAAGCCUCGAAAUAAUGAUUCUGAGAGUUUGCCGAGCCCCAGCAGAGCCUAUGGCCCAAUAGCGGAAGUUUCUUUUCCAGCAUCAUCAGCAGAGCCACACCCACUCAGUCCGCAUGAGCACAGCAGAAACAUUCACAGACCGUUUCUGGGUGAGAAUGAAGGUGUGGGUUCAGGUCUUUCAGUGUUUCCUGCACAUCAUGCACAGAAGAACAGACUCAGCUAUAAAGAGGAGCUCAGAAAGCAGAUAGAGGAGCGGGCUGCACAGAGGAGAGUGGACAGAGAGGAGAAGAGAAGACUGGAUGCGGAACUUGAAGCCGAUAUGAGAGCAUAUGAACCCUGGGGAAGGGGUGGAGCUGGUGCACCACUCAGAGACAGCACUGGAAAUCUAAUCACUGAUCUGAAGCAGAUGCACCUUUUGAAUGCAGCAGCAGGAGCACAAAGAACGGAGAGGCCAGGUUUUGUUGAGACACACACUCCACAGUUUUCAAGAGGAAAUGUGUUCAAUCAGAUGCUGUCACCCCAGCAACUACUGGAGAAAGACCAAUACAAAGCUUGCCUGAGACUCCAGAUGGAAGAGAAGCGAAGGAAGCAAGCAGAGGAGAGAGAGCGGAUGAAGGCAGAGGAGGAGAGGGAGGACAGACGACUGGCAGAACAGAGAGAAAAAAUCAGGAGAGAGUAUGAAGAGGAGCAGGAGAACAGGAAACGCAGAGAGAUGGAGCAAAAACUGAAGAAUGAAGAACUUGCUCGUCUGGCGGAAGAGAGACGGAGGGAUGCAGAGAAAAAGAAAAAAGAAGAAGAAAAAGAAAAAGAGAGAGCAGCUCUCCAAAAACAAGAAGAGCGAGAGAGACAAAUACGGCUGCAACAGGUUCAACGUGCACCAUCCCCUCCCAUCCCUACCUUACAGAAUAAACACCGCAACCCUUCAAACGCUAUAGAUUUCUCUCCAUUUCGGGCGCCUCCAUCUCCAGAACACAGAAACCAUCAGAGAACAGAGAAGGACAGGAGUGAGGUUUUUAAUGAGCUGAGUGUGUUAAGAAGACGUCUACGCAGUGAACAACGGCGUCUGGAGGAGCAGCUCUUGCACACAGAGUGGGAGCCUCUCCCCUCCCCCUUCACUGACAGGUCCAGGGUGGAUGUGUUUGACAUGGCUCGUUUGCGUAUGCCUGUUCGAGGCCCCUCUUCCCGUGGCACUGAGCCAAUCAGCUCAAAGAAAACUGAUGACAUCAUGUACAGGGAUGCCUUUAUGCUUCUUCCUAGAACACGGCAGUCUAGGAACCGAGAUGUUGAGGGGGGACGAGGAUCUGUGCUUCUGUCAGAGAGUGAAUUUAUUGAUCAGAAUGGGGUUGCAUUCCCACUUCCUCCAGAUGUCGAGAGGAAAUCGGCUAAGCCAUCUGCACGAGAGCGACGCAGACUAGCAAACCUUCAGUGGAUUCAUUAUUCCAGAUAUUUUGGAAAAGCAUGUGAAUUGUCUGAUACCUAAAAAGACCUCAACUACAUUUCACACAACUCAUGAUAAGUAAAUGUUAAACACUCUGACACUCAAAAUUGUUUUUUUGUUUUGUUUUGCUGAACCAUAAUUUUUCUCAACCAACAUCAACCGCGUCUUGCAUUAUAUUUUCUGAGAAAGGAUUCUGUGGUUGAAUUGACGUUGCUGAAAAUAACACUGUGAACACUGUGCAAGUGUCAGACUCUUUUGCUGUUUUAUAGUCAGCAUUUUAUGUACCCCAAAUACAAAUAAAUAUUUUUGAAUAAUUUGUUUUAGUUUGAAGUAUUUUUAAAUAAAAUUCAAAAUUACAGCUUGAUUGGAAAUGAUACACAAAAAAUAUUGUUCACAAUUUAUAUUUGCUUAGUUUUGUUGUUUUUAAAUAAAUUUGUUUGAGUACUUUUUAAUACUGAUGGCAUCCCAGAAUGUACCUCAUGAAGUCAGAUGAGGGGCUGGCUGCAUCCAAAAUCGCAUACUUUCCUACUAGGUGAGAAACAGUAUGUGACAAAAGAAUUAUGUCCAAAUUCACAGUACUCAUAAAAGAUUAAGCAAAAUGUACCUGGAUGACCUACUGCUUCUGCCAAGAUUCUGAAGUGUGCAUACUAUGAACACUUUACUAUCCCAUGAGGCCACGAGAGAGGAUUUGUGAAUGGCAGUGAAGCGACACAACAGACAAUGGUACUGUAGGUCACAUAAUGACAACAUGACAAAUGUAGUAUGACUAGAUUACAUUCAUACUAUAUAGAACAUACAUUUUAAGUGGUUGUGAAGUAAUUACUUAUUCAAAAUAAGUACCUACUCAGAAGAUUAUGCAAUUUUGGCUAAUCUAGGUAAUGUGUUAUGACUUUGAAGUAACUUACUUUAUAUAAGUUUAGAUUUUGUCACUGCAUGAUACCAGUUCUUUUGUUUUGCAUAUGAUGACUUCAGUAUAAGUGUAUAUGUGUGUGUUUAGGCUGCAGAAAAGCAGCCGAUGCACCAGCAGUCCUUCAGCAUGAGGAAACUCAGAGACACAAACACUCUCAGGAUGAAGAGAUCACAAGCCUUUGGUCAUCAUACCACAGCAGGAGGCUGCUCUGAUGAUGAAGAUGAAGAUGGUCGUCGUGAUGAGCGUUUUACCCUGCCGUCUCCUGGCAGGCCCAGUUCCAUUGAUACAGCAGCUACAGAGCCCUGGAUUCGAGCGGAGUCGUCAGACACGCUCAUUAGGCUGAUGUCUGGCUCUGAACACUAAGAUGGAUGUCAUGUAACAUACAUGACUGCUUUACAAUAACACACACUCAGAGUGUGUGCGCAUUAUUGUAAAACAGUAUAUAUUUUAUGUAAUGUUCAGAUCUCUUGAGCAAAUAAAGACUGAUCAGCAGAAUCUCUAUGAGAUCAACUGCUUGACUGAAUUACA